GAGGAAUAUUGGGCAAUGCCCGCAAGGGUGACCCAGCAACGCCGCGUGGAGGAUGAAUGUCGUAAGAUUGUAAACUCCUGUUAGAGGGGAAGAAUAGUACCGGUUGGACCGGUAUAUGACUGUACCCUCAGAGAAAGCCCCGGCCAACUACGUGCCAGCAGCCGCGGUAAUACGUAGGGGGCAAGCGUUGUCCGGAUUUACUGGGAGUAAAGGGCGCGCAGGCGGGAUAAAAAGUCAGUGGUGAAAUCCUACAGCUUAACUGUAGAACUGCCUUUGAUACUUUUAUUCUUGAGUUCGGGAGAGAGAGACGGAAUUCCAGGUGUAGUGGUGAAAUACGUAGAUAUCUGGGAGAACACCAGUUGCGAAGGCGGUCUCUUGGUCCGACACUGACGCUGAGGCGCGAAAGCGUGGGGAGCAAA
rnacentral:rRNA from 1 species